rnacentral:lncRNA from 1 species
CUGACUUACUGGACCUCCCACACCGAGUGGCCGGGCUGUGCCGCCUCGGUCUCUGUUUUCCUGACAACAGUGUCACAGCCAGCACAGAGAGGGUGCUUCCAACCGAGGCCCUGCUGAGACCCUCUUGGACUCAGAGCUUUCUUGCCCACCUGGACCCUGGCUUUUCCAUCAUCGGAUUCUUCACUUCUGUUCAUGUACCGGCGAGUCCCGGGGCCCUGAGUGUGGCCCUGGUGUCAUCUGUGCCUUCUGCUACCUAACUGCUAAGAAAACCUCAUUUAAAUUAUUUUAAAAACAAACAUGGCAAGAAGAUGUUGAGCCUUUAAAAAGUGCGGAUGUGACCGCCCACAGCUCGAGGUGCGGCUUCAGGUCCCUCGCUUCGCUCUCCAGACUGUGGAUUCACUGGGGGAUGAAGGACCUGGAUGAGACACCAGCUCUGUGUCCUCCACGUCCUCGCGGCUUCCUUUCUAGUUCACAAGAGUCGGCUAUGAACACUGUGAAUGCAAAUGGAAUUCCAUAAUGAUCUUUAUGCAGUUCCUGUCAGACAUCGACCGUUACACAACGUAAUACUCCUGUCCAGUGUUUGGGUGAAGAUCCUCAAGAUCAUAAAAUGAUUUCCCUGAAGAGGAAUGUUUUCCGAUUGGAGAGACCAUGCCAUGCUAUAAGGCCAAGCAUGUGCUCGCGGAACCAGGAGGCUCAGAGUACAUCUACAGGAAAACCGGGAAGCCACUGGACUCUGAGAUUACCAGGCCAUGUAGCAAGAGCCCAAGGAUUUAACAGGAAAAAUGGCAAGGAAUUCCACUCCUUCAAAGAUGGUCAUUGCAACUCUGCUCUGUGCUGUGUCAUCAAGCUCAGCCCAGAACAUUGAAGACACAAAGAAUACAAAGAAUAAAAAACGUGGAAGCUCAAGGCUGCCACCAGUAACUGGUGUGUGUGUGUGUGUGUGUGUGUGUGUAGGGAGUUCUAGAAACUUGGUAUUUUUAUGCACGCACCUUUCUGUAAGUUUAAAAGAUGGUGGACCCACAAUUAAGCCGUUGCUUUGCCCAUCCUAGGUUACUAACAUAAGCCCUUUCCAUGUUGUAGCACAGUGCUGAUAGUUAUCAUUCUACUCUGCCAGAAUUUAAUUAUUCUUUGCUCUGUGAUUGAUUGUUAAGGUUUUCCAUAUUCCCUUUGUUUUAUUACAAAUAACACUUCAAUGAAAAUCUCUGUGAACAGAAAUUCUAUUUGUUUUUAGAUUAUUUCCUUUGAGUAAAUCUUCCCAAAUACUAAACUGUUGGAGUUGUAUUUUCUCUCUAACUACUUAUCGGUUUUAGGCAAUAUUGAUGAACUCUUCUCCAUAGAAGACAAAAUUGGUUAUCU